AUACGGAGGAUCCGAGCGUUAUCCGGAUUUAUUGGGUUUAAAGGGUGCGCAGGCGGCCAUUUAAGUCAGCGGUUAAAUCGUGGGGCUCAACCCCAUACUGCCGUUGAUACUGGGGGGCUUGAUUCCGGUCGAGGUUGGCGGACUUCGUUGAGCAGCGGUGAAAUGCAUAGAUCUGACGAAGAACACCGAUUGCGUAGGCAGCUGACCAGAUCGCAAAUGACGCUCAUGCACGAAAGUGCGGGGAUCGAACAGGAUUAGAUACCCUGGUAGUCCGCACAGUAAACGAUGAAUACUUGUUUUCGGCGAUAUAAUGUCGGAGGCAAAGCGAAAGCGAUAAGUAUUCCACCUGGGGAGUACGCCGGCAACGGUGAAACUCAAAUGAAUUGACGGGG
rnacentral:rRNA from 1 species